UACGAAGGGGGCUAGCGUUGCUCGGAAUCACUGGGCGUAAAGCGCACGUAGGCGGAUCUUUAAGUCGGGUGUGAAAUCCCUGGGCUCAACCCAGGAAGUGCACUCGAAACUGGCAGGCUUGAGUACUGAAGAGGGUCGCGGAAUUCCCGGUGUAGAGGUGAAAUUCGUAGAUAUCGGGAGGAACACCAGUGGCGAAGGCGGCGACCUGGGCAGAUACUGACACUGAGGUGCGAAAGCGUGGGGAGCAAACAGG
rnacentral:rRNA from 1 species